rnacentral:misc_RNA from 1 species
GAUGAAGAACGUAGUGAAAUGCGAUAAGUAGUGUGAAUUGCAGAAUUCAGUGAAUCAUCGAAUCUUUGAACGCACAUUGCGCCCCUUGGUAUUCCAUGGGGCAUGCCUGUUCGAGCGUCAUUUGUACCUUCAAGCCUUGCUUGGUGUUGGGUGUUUGUCUCGCCUCUGCGCGCAGACUCGCCUCAAAACAAUUGGCAGCCGGCGUAUUGAUUUCGGAGCGCAGUACAUCUCGCGCUUUGCACCCAGAACGACGACGUCCAAAAGUACAUUUUUACACUCUUGACCUCGGAUCAGGUAGGGAUACCCGCUGAACUUAAGCAUAUCAAUAAGCGGAGGA